GGGGUGUAGAGUAUGGUGUGGAGUUGUGUACCGUUUAUAAACCGGAUGAUAAGUAUAUCUUUAGUUUUCUUUUGCAUCGGUUUCGCGCGCGUUAAGUGCCGUUAAUGAACUGCCUUUAAUGAACCUGGGGAUGGCGAUAUUUAUUUUGUGUGUGUGUCGGCUAAAAUGUAUCUCAAUAGCUCCGCCUACUCGUAACAGUCAUCGACUACCUAAAAAAAAGCCAUGCCACAAAAUAUUCAGGAAAGACUGUAAAUGUCAUUAAUUUGCAGAAGAGCAUCAAACAUGCAUGAUAACAUACAACGAAGUAUCUUACACAAUAUUGACACAAAUCAUUCACGCACCAGAAGACCCAUAAUGCAGUUGUGCCAAGGUCGCCUACUCCAUGCACAGUUUUGUGCUUAUUAGCUGGUUAUCCUCCUUUUCCCGUGGUUGUUAUGUUUUCGAAUCUGUCAGCUGAUAAGAGGAGCCACAACCAAUCUGGCUACAGUAACCAGACAGAGCUGCUUUGUACUUUUUCAUUCUAAGGUGAAUGUCACAGAGCCUCAGAUUGAAGCUGGUGACAUUGGUGACUUUAUAUAACUCUUUUAUUAUCAGACUUCCAAUUGUAUGUAGAGGGUUGUGGGCUUCUACCCAAGUAUUGGCAUCAUCACAGAAAUUCACUAGAUGGAAUGUAGAAUUCAGCUAUAAGAAGUUUUCUGUGACAUACAUUCCAGACACUUCCAACAAGAUUUUCUUCAGAUGUGUUACCAGUAGUUCACAGUGUAAUCCAGUGUCUUUGGGCUCCUUCAAAGAUUCCUGUAAAAAUACUUCCUUCAUCCAACACUACUGCACUGACAUGGCAGACAACAAAUAUGUUGUGGGUUAUGCUAAACUGGGAACCUCAGGCUGCAAAAAAUGUAAGCAGAAGAUAGCCAAAGGUGCACUCAGGAUUGGAAAACUUGUUCGUAAUCCAUUUGGCAGUGAUGGUGGUGAUAUGAAACAGUGGCACCAUCCCAAUUGUAUCUUUGAUACAUUUCAACGAGCACGUCCAACAACUAAAAAAAUAGAGGAGCCUGAUGACAUGGAGGGAUUUUCGGACCUCAGACAGGAAGACAAAAACAGUCUCAUCAAAUUAAUUAACGACUUUGCCCAGUCAUCUCCCAAAAAGAAACUGCCAAUUUCACCUUCUAAACAGCAAGAUAACAAGUCAGAGGUUAAUGAUGAUGAGCCCAGCACUAGUGGAACAACAUCUGGUGGUAGCACCAGUAACCUGGAUCCUAAUGUAGAGAAGGAUAACUCUUUCCGCGAGUUCCGUCGGCUGUGUGCAGACAUUGCAGAGGAGAGUAGUUACACUAGGAAGACACAGCUGGUCCACAACUACAUAGCCUGGGGUCACAGUGGCACUGGUUUCCAAGGUGAUCUUUACCUUCUGCUGAAACUACUGCUUCCUGGGGUGGAGAAGACAGUCUAUAAUCUUAACAACAAGCAGCUGGUUAAACUCUUCCAUCAGAUUUUUGGGGCUAAUCUGCAAGAGAUGAUUGAGCACUUGGAACAGGGAGAUGUUGCAGAGACCAUACGAUUGGCUUUUGACCAUAGUCAGCUAUUGAUGCCACAGAAGAAAAGCACCCUUAGCUUACAAGAGGUGGACUCUAUGUUGGCCACCCUGGCUCAGUUCACAAGAGAAGAGGACCAACAGAGGAUGCUGACAAAAAUUGCUGUCAGGUGCACAGCCAAUGAUCUGAAGAUGUUCAUCCGUCUCAUCAAGCAUGACUUGAGGAUCAAUGCAGGUGCAAAGCACAUUCUGGAUGGUCUUAAUCCUGAUGCAUAUGCAGCUUUCCAGGCUUCUCGCAAUCUUCGUGACGUCGUGGAGCGUGUCAUGCACAACAAGAAGUCGGAUGAUGAGGGAAAGCCGGGGCCAUCCAGGAAACUGUCGGUGAGAGCAUCUCUGAUGACACCAGUGCUGCCAAUGUUGGCUGAGGCAUGCAAGUCUGUGGAUUAUGCUUUCAAGAAAUGUACCAAUGGGAUAAUGGCGGAGAUCAAAUAUGAUGGUGAACGAGUGCAGGUGCACAAGAGAGGAAAUGAUUUCAGGUAUUUCAGCCGCAGUCUCAAACCUGUCCUUCCUCACAAGGUAGCGCAUUUCAAAGAGUUUAUCCCAAAGGCUUUUCCCAAUGGCACCGAUCUCAUCCUGGAUGCUGAGGUUCUUCUUAUUGACACAACAACAGGCAAGCCAUUGCCUUUUGGUACACUAGGUGUGCACAAGAAAGCAGCAUUUGCUAACGCUAAAGUGUGCCUGUUUGUCUUUGACUGUCUCCUCAUCAACGAUGACAAUCUCAUGGAAAAACCCAUGAGAAAGAGGAGAGAGAUUCUGGAACACAACAUGACAGAGAUCCCACACCGAGUCAUGCUGUCUGAAGUUCACAGUAUCCAGCAACCUGAAGAACUGCAGGACCUGAUGACGAAAGUCUUCAGUGAAGGUCUGGAAGGGCUUGUGCUCAAAGAUGCAAAUAGCUUAUAUGAACCUGGCAAGCGUCACUGGCUGAAAAUGAAGAAGGAUUAUUUGCAUGAGGGCAAAAUGGCUGACUCAGCUGAUCUCAUUGUCCUGGGAGCAUAUUAUGGAACUGGAAAUAAAGGAGGCAUGAUGUCCAUCUUCCUGAUGGGCUGCUAUGACCCAGAUACAGACACUUUCUGCACUGUCUCCAAGUGUGGAAGUGGCCUUGAUGACAAGACACUGGACGAGUUGCAAACGCAGCUGGACAUGGUCAAGAUAAGCAAGGACCCCAGCAAAGUGCCCCCCUGGCUCAAGAUCAAAAAGCAGGUGCUGCCAGACUUUGUGGUGAACAAUCCAAAAACGUCUCCGGUCUGGGAAAUCAUUGGGGCAGAAUUCAGCAAGGCGGAGGUCCACACAGCUGAUGGAAUCUCAAUUCGCUUUCCUCGAAUUCAGAAGUUCCGUGAUGACAAAACUUGGAAAGAGGCAACUGACUUGCCCCGCCUGAAGCUGCUGUAUACAGAAUCAAAGAAUAAAUCAGACUUGCAGUUUCAUAUUAAGCCUCGCAAGCGGUCUGAUGAAGGAAGUGAUAAUGAAGGCAGUGACGAUGGCAAUAAUGAGGAUAAUGAUGAAGACAGUGGUGAAUGGAAGAGGACAUUAUCUAAAGCAUCAGCCCGUAAAAAGGCAGCGAAAAGAAAAGCCUCUAGCAGUGACUCGCCAGAAAAAUCACCAGAAAAAAGGAACAGGCCUACGUGUAAGUAUGGAGCUAACUGCUACAGCUUGAAUCCAUUCCACCGCAGAUUAUUUAACCAUCAAUCACCAGAGCAAUCAGCCAACAAGAUUACAACCUAUUUCACCAAAACAUCAGACUCCCCUUCAUCUUCACCUGCAAAAGGCGGGGUAAAGACUCUGCCUAUAGCAUUUCGUGGUUGCAAGAUAAUCCUGCCUAAGAGCACUGCAGACUUCAGGUAUCUCAGGCGCUACAUCCUGGCAUAUGACGGUGAUCUGCUUCCAGAAUAUGAUGUCCACGUUGCCACACAUAUCGUCGCUACUGACAGUUCACAAGUGCCCGACAAGGGAGAGAACACAGAACUUGUGACACCAGCCUGGUUGUGGAGAUGCAUCAGAAAAGGGAAACUUGUGCCCACAACCAGAUAUAAACCUUCGUGAGGAUCAGAAAAUGUUUUUACAAGUGAGCUGGAAAACCAAAAGGGACGAGAUGGAGAAAGAUUCGCCACUGCACAUGCGCACGCGUCAGUUGUAGCUGUUACUGGCGCCCAGCACCGCCAUCAGGAAGAGCCAGCCAUCUAUGUACAGCCCCACUUCCAUCACCUUCAAGGAACUAGGGAGUGCAGACACUGCUUUGGCUGUGUGUUCUCGUGUCGUGCAAGCCACAAGUUAGCCCGUCUGCCUUAACGAAGCCCAGACGAACCUCCAAGUAUCCGCGAUCACCAUGGUAACCUUUCUCCUCAAGCCGGCAGGCAGCAUUUGCAUUGUUUCCGGAACCUGAUCAGAUGCGGUCAGCAGCUCCCAAAGUAGUAUUGCAGUAGAUAUCGAUGAGCGUAGAUCAGCUCCGGAGAAAAAUAACAUGGAAUUCCGGACCACUUUGCCUUUGCGUGGCAAACGACCAUCUUUUGCGGUAGGAACUCUAUCAGCAUAAACGAUGACCUUACGGGUAGGGUCGAGUGUCGUCUCGCGGAGUCUCGAGGUUUAUCGGCGACGUGGCGUCUCGGAGAUGGUAGCGUGUAGACACGUGGUCAGAACAGCGCUCUUUACGGUGAUCGUACCCGUCACUGCAACUCUUCGUCUCUUGUGGAAACUCACAUCAUCCUUCUAGAAUGGACCGUAGACCAUAAGAUGCAUAACACACAUAUGUAUAUAUAAUGUAUAUUAUUUCCCAUGUCGGUUUUCCUAUUGUCGGUGCUGUCAGUAAUAACUGCCGGUAAUUGUAAUAUCAAUGUUUAGUGUCUUUAGCGGUAGCUGUCAGGUAUCAUCAGUCAGUAAUAACCGUCAGGUGUGAUCAUCGUAUCGGUAGUAAUAACUUUCAGAUAUCAUUGUAUCGUUUGAUACUUCCAUGUAUCACCCUUGUAUCAUCAGUAAUAAUAUCAUCAUUGUAUAGUCAGCAGUUGCUGUCGGUUAUCGUCUUUGUACUCUUAGUAAGAACUAUCAUGUAUCAUUGUAUCGUCAGUAAUAAUUAUCAUGUAUCGUCAUUGUAUAGUCAGUAAUAGUUGUCGGUUAUCGUCAUUCUACCGCUAGUAAGAACUGUCAUGUAUCAUUGCAUCGUCAGUAAUAGCUGUCAGUUAUUAUAUUGUUAGCAGUAAUAACUCUCGGUUAUUAUCAUUGUAUCGUCAGUAAUAGCUGUUGGUUAUCAUCGUUGUAUCGUCAGUAAUAACUAUCAUAUAUCACCAUUGUGUCGUCAGUAAUAGCUGUUGGCUAUCAUCGUUGCUAGUGUUACACCUCGUGAGUAGUUUUGCAUAUGAACUUCUCCUGUUUAUGUAUAUUGACCUCCAUGAACAUACUGAUCAGUUCUCCAUGUUUGAUAGUUUGCUCUUCGCUGUUGUAAUUACUCAUCGUCACUGUUUUAUAUACCAGUCCUCUCCAUGUUUUACACCAGUCUUCACUCAGUAGUUGAUACAUAAAUCUUUACUGAAUGAUUUACUUAUUAUCUUUGUUUUUCAUGUUAGUCUUCACUCCAUUUUUCAUGCAUCAAUCUUCACUCAGUGCUUUGCAUGCACUUCUUUCUCAUUUUUUCUGUCUCUCAUCCACCCACCCUUCCUUCUGUUCUCAUUUAAAUCCAAGUUUGAAUUUUUUAAAAUAUGAGACUGCGUGAGCGUGGGAACAUGAAAAGACAAAAAUGUAAGGAGGGCCAGUGGUGGGGCGUGAUCAACCCUCCUGAUGAAAUGAAUUAAAACUUUAUAUGCAAGUAAACAGAGAGAGAAUAAACCAUAUCGAUCUUCCUUCUAAUAACCUGCGGACCAUGAAAUUGUUAUCAGCUGGCGCCAAGAAAAGUCUUGAAAAUGAGCUUCAUAUUUUAGGCCAGCGAGCUGCCCCAACCCACAUUCAUCAUGUUUUCUUCUCUCUUUUUUUAAACGAGUCUAA
rnacentral:misc_RNA from 1 species